rnacentral:rRNA from 1 species
CCUACGGGAGGCAGCAGUGAGGAAUAUUGGUCAAUGGACGCAAGUCUGAACCAGCCAUGCCGCGUGCAGGAAGACGGCUCUAUGAGUUGUAAACUGCUUUUGUACGAGGGUAAAUCCCGAUACGUGUAUCUGGUUGAAAGUAUCGUACGAAUAAGGAUCGGCUAACUCCGUGCCAGCAGCCGCGGUAAUACGGAGGAUUCAAGCGUUAUCCGGAUUUAUUGGGUUUAAAGGGUGCGUAGGCGGUUCGAUAAGUUAGAGGUGAAAUCCCGGGGCUCAACUCCGGCACUGCCUCUGAUACUGUCGGGCUAGAGAUUAGUUGCGGUAGGCGGAAUGUAUGGUGUAGCGGUGAAAUGCAUAGAGAUCAUACAGAACACCGAUUGCGAAGGCAGCUUACCAAGCUACGUCUGACGUUGAGGCACGAAAGCGUGGGGAGCAAACAGGAUUAGAUACCCCUGUAGUC